rnacentral:tRNA from 1 species
GUCCCAGUAGCUCAGCGGAUUAGAGCAGCGGGCUUCUAUCCCGCGUGUCGAGGGUUCGAGUCCCCCCUGGGAUACCA